rnacentral:rRNA from 1 species
CCUACGGGAGGCAGCAGUGGGGAAUAUUGCACAAUGGGCGCAAGCCUGAUGCAGCGACGCCGCGUGAGGGAUGAAGGCCUUCGGGUUGUAAACCUCUUUCAGUAGGGAAGAAGCUGAUCUUUUGGGUUGGUGACGGUACCUGCAGAAGAAGCGCCGGCUAACUACGUGCCAGCAGCCGCGGUAAUACGUAGGGCGCAAGCGUUAUCCGGAAUUAUUGGGCGUAAAGAGCUCGUAGGCGGUUUGUCGCGUCUGCCGUGAAAGUCCGGGGCUUAACCCCGGAUCUGCGGUGGGUACGGGCAGACUAGAGUGCAGUAGGGGGGACUGGAAUUCCUGGUGUAGCGGUGAAAUGCGCAGAUAUCAGGAGGAACACCGAUGGCGAAGGCAGGUCUCUGGGCUGUAACUGACGCUGAGGAGCGAAAGCAUGGGGAGCGAACAGGAUUAGAUACCCUGGUAGUCCAUGCCGUAAACGUUGGGCACUAGGUGUGGGGGACAUUCCACGUUUUCCGCGCCGUAGCUAACGCAUUAAGUCGCCCCGCGUGGGACGUCGGCCGCGAGGACUUAAAACGUUAAGUAGUAAGUUGACCGGCGUGAGACGUCGACGACGACGACGACGGAGGGAGGAGG